UUUUAUAUGCACUGGGAAACCAAAAAAUUUGUGCGACUUGCUUUAUCGUGAUAGUCACUUUAUUGCUGUGGUUUUAAAUCAAUUUC